rnacentral:rRNA from 1 species
UACGUAGGGUGCAAGCGUUGUCCGGAAUUAUUGGGCGUAAAGAGCUCGUAGGUGGUUUGUCGCGUCUGCCGUGAAAGUCCGGGGCUCAACUCCGGAUCUGCGGUGGGUACGGGCAGACUAGAGUGAUGUAGGGGAGACUGGAAUUCCUGGUGUAGCGGUGAAAUGCGCAGAUAUCAGGAGGAACACCGAUGGCGAAGGCAGGUCUCUGGGCAUUAACUGACGCUGAGGAGCGAAAGCAUGGGGAGCGAACAGG